CCCAGACUCCUACGGGAGGCAGCAGUGGGGGAUAUUGCACAAUGGGGGGAACCCUGAUGCAGCGACGCCGCGUGGGUGAAGGAGCGUUUCGGCGCGUAAAGCCCUAUCGGCAGGGAAGAAGGAGGACGGUACCUGACUAAGAAGCCCCGGCUAACUACGUGCCAGCAGCCGCGGUAAUACGUAGGGGGCAAGCGUUAUCCGGAUUUACUGGGUGUAAAGGGGGCGCAGACGGCAGCGCAAGCCAGGAGUGAAAGCCCGGGGCCCAACCCCGGGACUGCUCUUGGAACUGCGCGGCUGGAGUGCAGGAGGGGCAGGCGGAAUUCCUGGUGUAGCGGUGAAAUGCGUAGAUAUCAGGAGGAACACCGGUGGCGAAGGCGGCCUGCUGGACUGCGACUGACGUUGAGGCCCGAAAGCGUGGGGAGCAAACAGGAUUAGAUACCCUAGUACAG
rnacentral:rRNA from 1 species